rnacentral:rRNA from 1 species
UACGUAGGGUGCAAGCGUUAAUCGGAAUUACUGGGCGUAAAGCGUGCGCAGGCGGUUUGUAAGUCUGUCGUGAAAUCCCCGGGCUUAACCUGGGAAUGGCGAUGGAGACUGCAAGGCUAGAAUCUGGCAGAGGGGGGUAGAAUUCCACGUGUAGCAGUGAAAUGCGUAGAGAGUGUGGAGGAACACCGAUGGCGAAGGCAGCCCCCUGGGCUAAGAUUGACG